CACGUAGGGGGCAAGCGUUGUCCGGAUUUAUUGGGCGUAAAGAGCGUGUAGGCGGCCUGGAAGGUCAGCUGUGAAAACUCGAGGCUCAACCUCGAGACAUCGGUUGAAACCACCUGGCUAGAGUCCGGAAGAGGAGAGUGGAAUUCCCGGUGUAGCGGUGAAAUGCGCAGAUAUCGGGAAGAACACCCGUGGCGAAGGCGGCUCUCUGGGACGGUACUGACGCUGAGACGCGAAAGCGUGGGGAGCGAACAGG
rnacentral:rRNA from 1 species